UGGGCAACCUGCCCUCGGCUCUGGGAUAACUCCAAGAAAUUGGGGCUAAUACCGGAUAUGACUGCUGACCGCAUGGUCUGGUGGUGGAAAGAUUUAUCGGCUGGGGAUGGGCCCGCGGCCUAUCAGCUUGUUGGUGGGGUAGUGGCCUACCAAGGCGACGACGGGUAGCCGGCCUGAGAGGGUGACCGGCCACACUGGGACUGAGACACGGCCCAGACUCCUACGGGAGCA
rnacentral:rRNA from 1 species